rnacentral:tRNA from 1 species
GGAGGUGUGGCUCAAGUGGUAGAGUGCAUGCCUAGCAAGCAGAAGGCCCUGAGUUCAAAUCUCAAUAAUUUCC